rnacentral:sRNA from 1 species
GAGCAAUUGAAAGUCGCCAAGGUGGCGAGGC